rnacentral:rRNA from 1 species
AGGAUGAACGCUGGCGGCGUGCCUAACACAUGCAAGUCGAACGCGCUCCAUUCGGUAGCAAUACUGAUGAAGAGCGAGUGGCGAACGGGUGAGUAACACAUGAGCAACCUGCCCCGAAGACUGGGACAACACCGGGAAACCGGUGCUAAUACCGGAUAUCCCUAUCGGACCACAUGAUCUGAUAAGGAAAGUUUUUCGCUUCGGGAGGGGCUCGUGGCCUAUCAGCUAGUUGGUGAGGUAACGGCCCACCAAGGCAUCGACGGGUAGCUGGUCUGAGAGGACGAUCAGCCACACUGGGACUGAGACACGGCCCAGACUCCUACGGGAGGCAGCAGUGGGAAUCUUGCGCAAUGGGCGAAAGCCUGACGCAGCAACGCCGCGUGGAGGACGAAGGCUUUCUGAGUUGUAAACUCCUUUCAGCAGGGACGAUAGUGACGGUACCUGCAGAAGAGCACCGGCCAACUACGUCGCCAGCAGCCGCGGUAA